rnacentral:rRNA from 1 species
UGCAUAUCAAUAAGCGGAGGAAAAGAAACUAACAAGGAUUCCCCUAGUAACUGCGAGUGAAGCGGGAAAAGCUCAAAUUUGAAAUCUGGCGGUUCUUGAACUGUCCGAGUUGUAAUCUAGAGAAGUGUUACCUGUGCUGGACCGUGUAAAAGUCUCCUGGAAUGGAGCAUCACAGAGGGUGAGAAUCCCGUCUUUGACACGGACUGCCUGUACGAUAUGGUGCGCUCUCGAAGAGUCGAGUUGUUUGGGAAUGCAGCUCAAAAUGGGUGGUAAAUGCCAUCUAAAGCUAAAUAUUGGCGAGAGACCGAUAGCGAACAAGUACCGUGAGGGAAAGAUGAAAAGAACUUUGGAAAGAGAGUUAAACAGUACGUGAAAUUGCUGAAAGGGAAACGCUUGAAGUCAGUCACGUCGGCUAGAAAUCAGCCUUGCUUUUGCUUGGUGUACUUUCUGGUUGACGGGUCAGCAUCAAUUUUGAUCAUUGGAUAAAGUCGUUGGGAAUGUGGCAUCUUAGGAUGUGUUAUAGCCCAUUGUCGCAUACAGUGGUGGGAUUGAGAACUCAGCACGCCGCAGGGCGGGUCUUUGACCACGUUCGUGCUUAGGAUGCUGGCAUAAUGUUCUUUAAUCGACCCGUCUUG